rnacentral:rRNA from 1 species
GGCACGCCUAACACAUGCAAGUCGAACGAAGUAGCAAUACUUAGUGGCAGACGGGUGAGUAACAUGUAGGUAUCUACCCUAUGGCCUGGAAUAACACGAGGAAACUUGUGCUAAUACCGGAUAAGUCUUUACGGAGAAAGCUUUAUGCACCAUUGGAUGAGCCUGCACUUGAUUAGUUUGUUGGUAGGGUAAUGGCCUACCAAGACUGUGAUCAAUAGCUGAUUUGAGAGGAUGAUCAGCCACAUUGGGACUGAGACACGGCCCAAACUCCUACGGGAGGCAGCAGUGGGGAAUCUUGCACAAUGGAGGAAACUCUGAUGCAGCGAUGCCGCGUGAGUGAAGAAGGCCCUUGGGUUGUAAAGCUCUUUCGUCGGGGAAGAAAAUGACUGUACCCGAAUAAGAAGGUCCGGCUAACUUCGUGCCAGCAGCCGCGGUAAUACGAAGGGACCUAGCGUAGUUCGGAAUUACUGGGCUUAAAGAGUUCGUAGGUGGUUGAAAAAGUUGGUGGUGAAAUCCCAGAGCUUAACUCUGGAACUGCCAUCAAAACUUUUCAGCUAGAGUAUGAUAGAGGAAAGCAGAAUUUCUAGUGUAGAGGUGAAAUUCGUAGAUAUUAGAAAGAAUACCAAUUGCGAAGGCAGCUUUCUGGAUCAUUACUGACACUGAGGAACGAAAGCAUGGGUAGCGAAGAGGAUUAGAUACCCUCGUAGUCCAUGCCGUAAACGAUGUGUGUUAGACGUUGGAAAUUUAUUUUCAGUGUCGCAGCGAAAGCGAUAAACACACCGCCUGGGGAGUACG